GAUGAACGCUGGCGGCGUGCCUAAUACAUGCAAGUCGAGCGAACAGACGAGGAGCUUGCUCCUCUGACGUUAGCGGCGGACGGGUGAGUAACACGUGGAUAACCUACCUAUAAGACUGGGAUAACUUCGGGAAACCGGAGCUAAUACCGGAUAAUAUAUUGAACCGCAUGGUUCAAUAGUGAAAGACGGUUUUGCUGUCACUUAUAGAUGGAUCCGCGCCGCAUUAGCUAGUUGGUAAGGUAACGGCUUACCAAGGCAACGAUGCGUAGCCGACCUGAGAGGGUGAUCGGCCACCCUGGAACUGAGACACAGUCCAGACUCCUACGGGAAGCAGCAGUAGGGAAUCUUCCGCAAUGGGCGAAAGCCUGACGGAGCAACGCCGCGUGAGUGAUGAAGGUCUUCGGAUCGGAAAACUCUGUUAUUAGGGAAGAACAAAUGUGUAAGUAACUAUGCACGUCUUGACGGUACCUAAUCAGAAAGCCACGGCUAACUACGUG
rnacentral:rRNA from 1 species